UCCCUGGUAGCUCAGUUGCUAAAGAAUCUGCCUGCAAUGCAGGAGCCCCCGGUUCGAUUCCUGGGCGGGGAA
rnacentral:tRNA from 1 species